rnacentral:sRNA from 1 species
AAGCAUGGAGUUUAGAGUCGAUAGUCUGGGAUUAGCAUUCUGGCUUUAACAAUGUACUGCUAACAUAAAUUCUCUGGCAUAACUUCUACUUCCCAUGACUGUCAUGAGAUUGCACAUAAAAAGUGCUGAAUAAAUAGUGGCUAGUGUUAUUAACCCUUUGUUUUCUAUGCAGGUGUCACAGAUUUAUCAGAGCAUUGAGUUUUCUCGUUUGACUUCUUUGGUUCCUUUUGUUGAUGCUUUCCAACUGGAACGGGCCAUAGUAGAUGCAGCCAGGCAUUGCGACUUGCAGGUAGGUAUGUGCUGUAAGGAGACAGGAGAAGGCCCUUGAGGGCUAGAAAGACACAUAUCUUCUGUUUCUCAGCUUUUGGUACAGUGAUAUCAUUUUAAAGUUUACUGAGUGAACUUUUCCAGCUUUUGUAUAUGACAUUCUUCUGUUACUUUUUGACUUCAUGCUUAUGGAUUUAACCAUUUUUAAUUUAAUUUUCAAAGGUUCGUAUUGAUCACACUUCUCGGACCCUGAGUUUUGGAUCUGAUUUGAAUUAUGCUACUCGAGAAGAUGCUCCGAUUGGUCCUCAUUUGCAAAGCAUGCCUUCAGAGCAGAUAAGAAACCAGCUGACAGCCAUGUCCUCAGUACUUGCAAAAGCACUUGAAGUCAUUAAACCAGCUCAUAUACUGCAAGAGAAAGAAGAACAGCAUCAGUUGGCUGUUACUGCAUACCUUAAAAAUUCACGAAAAGAGCACCAGCGGAUCCUGGCUCGCCGCCAGACAAUUGAGGAAAGAAAAGAGCGCCUUGAGAGUCUGAAUAUUCAGCGUGAAAAAGAAGAAUUGGAACAGAGGGAAGCUGAACUCCAGAAAGUACGGAAGGCUGAGGAAGAGAGGCUGCGCCAGGAAGCAAAGGAGAGAGAGAAGGAGCGUAUCUUACAGGAACAUGAACAAAUCAAAAAGAAAACUGUCCGAGAGCGUUUGGAGCAGAUCAAGAAAACAGAACUGGGUGCCAAAGCAUUCAAAGAUAUUGAUAUUGAAGACCUUGAGGAAUUGGAUCCAGAUUUUAUCAUGGCUAAACAGGUUGAACAACUGGAGAAAGAAAAGAAGGAACUUCAAGAACGCCUAAAGAAUCAAGAAAAGAAGGUAAAUGAAAGGAUUGGUAAACCUUUAACAUACCAAGUUAAGAGAGAUUUUUAAAAACUA